GGCAGCCGAGGCACAGAGACAUGAAAAAACAGCAGUGUAGAUGAAAGAUGAUCUGAUACAACAGCUCUGACCCAGGAUAUUUCAAAUGCAUUUAUGUUCUCUAAUUGAUGAUCCCAACUCAUCACAAGGUAUUACGGUAAUCUCUAAAUUAGUUGAAGAUAAUUCCACAGUGAUGCAAGAGUGGGAUGAAAACUAAAAAGGAUGGUCUAGACAUACAGCUGAACGUAGUAAAGGCAGGCCUUUUCACUCUAUAAGCUGGUGACUGUUGGCAAUGGAUUCAAUCAGACCUGAAGGAGAACUUUACAUUUUAGCAAAACCAAUGGAAAUAAUGUGCCAAGGAUGGUAAGGAUUUUCCAACCACGGAGACAUCAUUUAGGUUGCAUAUGCGUGGAUGUGUCAAGAAAGAAAUUAGAGAUUUAACUGAAAGCUUUAGAAAAACUUUAACAAAAAAAAAAAAAAAAAAAAAGAAAGAAAGAAAAAGAAAAA